UUUUAAAUUUAGAGUUUGAUCCUGGCUCAGGACGAACGCUGGCGGCGUGCUUAACACAUGCAAGUCGAGCGAUGAAACUUCCUUCGGAAAGUGGA
rnacentral:rRNA from 1 species